UACGGAGGGUGCAAGCGUUAAUCGGAAUUACUGGGCGUAAAGCGUGCGCAGGCGGUUUGUUAAGUCUGCUGUGAAAUCCCCGAGCUCAACUUGGGAAUUGCAGUGGAUACUGGCAGGCUGGAGUAUGGUAGAGGAAGGUGGAAUUCCCGGUGUAACAGUGAAAUGCGUAGAGAUCGGGAGGAACACCAGUGGCGAAGGCGGCUCACUGGCCCGAUACUGACGCUGAUGCACGAAAGCGUGGGGAGCAAACAGG
rnacentral:rRNA from 1 species